GAUUGAUCCACACCUAGAAGUGUUUAUGGUAGAUUGAUACACACAGAGAAAUAUUGAUUAUAGAUUGAUACACACAUGGAAGAGUUUAUUGUAGAUUGAUACACACAUAGAAAUAUUGAUUAUAGAUUGAUACACACAGAAAAGUGUUUAUGGCAGAUUGGUAUAGAAAUAGAAAUAUGAAUAGAGGUGAGUGCAAUGUGUUUAUUGUAGAUUGAUACAGAAAGAGAAAUAUUGAUUAGAGAUUGAUACACACCUAGAAGUGUUUAUUAUAGGUUGAUACACUCAUAGAGUAUUAUUAAUUGAUCCACACUUUAUUAUAGUUUGAUGCACAAAUAGAAAUAUUGAUUAGAGAUUGAUGCACACAUACAAGUAUUUAUUAUAGAUUGAUACAGAAAUAGAAAUAUUGAUUAGAGAUUGAUACACACAUACAAGUAUUUAUUAUAGAUUGAUACAGAAAUAGAAAUAUUGAUUAGAGAUUGAUACACACCUAGAAGUGUUUAUGGUAGAUUGAUACACAAAUUAAAAUAUUGAUUGCAGAUUGAUACACACAAAGUGUUUAUUAUAGAUUGAUACACAAAUAGAAAUAUGAUUAGGGGUGAUUACAAUAUGUUUAUUGAUACACAAAGAGAAAUAUUGAUUCUAGAUUGAUACACACAGAGAAAUAUGAAUAGAGGUGAGUGCAACAUGUUUAUUGUAGUCUAAAACCCAAAGAGAAAUAUUGAUUAUAGAUUGAUACACACAGAGAGGUGUUUAUGGUAGAUUGGUAUAGAAAGAGAAAUAUUGAUUAUAGAUUGAUACACACCUAGAAGUGUUUAUGGUAGAUUGAUACACACAUAGAAAUAUUGGUUACAGAUUGAUACACACAUGGAAGAGUUUAUUGUAGGUUGAUACAUACAUAGAAAUAUUGAUUAUAGACUGAUACAGAAAUAGAAAUAUUGCUUAUAGAUUGCUACACACAGAGAUAUAUUGAUUAUAGAUUGAUACACACAGAGAAAUGUUUAUGGCAGAUUGGUAUAGAAAUAGAAAUAUGAAUAGAGGUGAGUACAAUAUUAUAGAUUGAAACACAAAUAGAAAUAUUGAUUAGAGAUUGAUACACACCUAGAAAUGUUUAUUAUAGGUUGAUACACUCAUAGAAUAUUAUUAAUUGAUCCACAAUUUAUUGUGGUUUGAUACAGAAAUGGAAAUAUUGAUUAGAGAUUGAUACAUACACAGAAAUAUUGAUUGGAGAUUGAUACACACAGAGAAAUAUUGAUUAGAGAUUGAUACCCAAAUAGAAAUAUUGAUUAGAGAUUGAUACCCAAAUAGAAAUAUUGAUUAUAGAUUGAUACAGAAAUAGAAAUAUUGAUUACAGGUGGAUACCCAAAUAUUUCUUGUAGGUUGAUGCACAGAUAGAUUUCUUAUUUAUUUCAUAUUUAUUCAUAUUUAUUUCAUAUUUCUUCUUAUUUAUUUCAUAUUUCUUAUCCCAGACUGACCUUCUCUACACAAAUCUGUAUUACCUAUUGAUAAUUGAUUGCUAUGCAGAUUAUCUAUUAAUUAUAGCUGGACCCACUAAUUGUUUAUUCUAGAUUGACACAGAAAUGGGAAUAUUUCUUAUAGAUGUACAAACAUUUAGUGGGAGAAAUCUUUCAAUUUGGUUAUUUUAUUUUGACACACAAAAUUAAAAAUUAUUUUUUAAAAUUAUUUUAAAAAAAGAUUUAAAAAUCAGAGGAAUGGAAAAAUAGAAAAAAGAUUAAAAAAAAAAAAAAACAAACCCAGAAAAAUAAAAUAGAAAAGAAAAACCAAAAUGAAAUAAAGAGAAAUCAAAAUGAAAUAAAGAGGAAUCAAAAUAAA